ensembl:lncRNA
UGCCGGUAACAAUUGGGGGCUCGUCCGGGAUACUCUAGCGUCCUUACCAGGCUGCGACAUUCGAGAGAGGAGAUAUAGCAGUCGACCAGCCGGGAGGCCACACUCCACCUCAUCCGGACUACAACCAUCCAGGCAGACAUCCAACUUCACCAACCACAGACAUUCCCCUACAACCAGCCGGGAGCUCCACCACUCCAGCAUCGACCAAGUCAUUCACAGCAGGUGUUCGGGGUGCUCACCAUGGGAGGACUCUCUCUGCCCUCUUGCGACACGACGGACUGGCAAAUCCCCUCCGGCUCCGUGGCUGUCUCAACCAGUGCGUGCCAUGAGAGCCACCAUGCAAG